rnacentral:rRNA from 1 species
UACGAAGGGGGCUAGCGUUGCUCGGAAUCACUGGGCGUAAAGCGCACGUAGGCGGGUCUUUAAGUCAGGGGUGAAAUCCUGGAGCUCAACUCCAGAACUGCCUUUGAUACUGAGGAUCUCGAGUCCGGGAGAGGUGAGUGGAACUCCGGAGUGUAGAGGUGAAAUUCGUAGAUAUUCGGAAGAACACCAGUGGCGAAGGCGGCUC